rnacentral:rRNA from 1 species
AUUGAACGCUGGCGGCAGGCCUAACACAUGCAAGUCGAGCGGCGCGACCGACGGGAGAGUAAUGCUUAGGAAUCAGACUGGCAGAGGGGGAUAACUCCCGGCAACGGGCGCUAUCACAGCACACUAUCAGAUGACACUAAGUUGGAUUAGCUAGUUGGUGGGGUAAAGGCCUACCAAGGCGACGAUGCGUACCUGGUCUGAGAGGAUGACCAGUCAGACUGGAACUGAGACACGGUCCAGAAUCCGACGGGAGGCAGCGGUGGGGAAUAUUGAGCAAUGGGCGAAAGCCUGAUGCAGCAAUGCCGCGUGUGUGAAGAAGGUCUUCGGAGUGUAAAGCACUUUAAUUUGGGAGGCGUUAGCAGAAGAAUAAGCACCGGCUAACGUCGUGCCAGCAGCCGCGGUAAUUC